AGUUAAUGAACUUGUAAAAGUAUAUAUUUUGAAAAUAUAAAAAAGAAAUUGUAAUUUUCUAUUAACUU
rnacentral:tRNA from 1 species